rnacentral:rRNA from 1 species
CUUUUCUAUGGAAGCUUGCUUCCACUGAGAAGAUAGUGGCGGACGGGUGAGUAACACGUGGGUAACCUGCCCAUAAGAGGGGGAUAACAUCCGGAAACGGGUGCUAAUACCGCAUAGUUUUCUUGAUCGCAUGAUUGAGAAAGGAAAGACGGCCUUUGUGCUGUCGCUUAUGGAUGGACCCGCGGCGUAUUAGUUAGUUGGUGAGGUAACGGCUCACCAAGACGAUGAUACGUAGCCGACCUGAGAGGGUGAUCGGCCACAUUGGGACUGAGACACGGCCCAAACUCCUACGGGAGGCAGCAGUAGGGAAUCUUCCGCAAUGGACGAAAGUCUGACGGAGCAACGCCGCGUGAGUGAAGAAGGUUUUCGGAUCGUAAAACUCUGUUGUCAGAGAAGAACAAGUCGGAGAGUAACUGCUCCGGCCUUGACGGUAUCUGACCAGAAAGCCACGGCUAACUACGUGCCAGCAGCCGCGGUAAUACGUAGGUGGCAAGCGUUGUCCGGAUUUAUUGGGCGUAAAGCGAGCGCAGGCGGUUCCUUAAGUCUGAUGUGAAAGCCCACGGCUCAACCGUGGAAGGUCAUUGGAAACUGGGGAACUUGAGUGCAGAAGAGGAGAGUGGAAUUCCAUGUGUAGCGGUGAAAUGCGUAGAUAUAUGG